GGAACCAGAUCUCCCCUUGCCCAGCGCAGGUCAGUGAGGACAAUCUGGGCUGUGUAUGAGCUCUGGAAGGGGUCUGAUUGUGGGCCAAGUUGGUCCUUGGCUCAGCCUGAAAUCAGGUGGAGGUCUGGUGGUGGCCAUAUGUUCCCAGGGCUACCCUGUGCCCAGGCUCCUGUGCACAUCUGCAAGGCUUAUCUGGGGGGAGCUUGAGAUCCAGCAGGGGUCAGCUGGUGGCGGAAAGCAGCAGGGCCUACUCUGGGUUUCAGCUGCCACUCAGGUCAUUGAGGCUGAAAUGGGCCAGGAUUGGCCACCAGGGAGUGUGUGUUGGUAGGCAGUCUGUCCUGGUCCAAACCUGAGCUCUGGAGGGAGCUGCUGGAGGGUGGAGGUAGUCCUGGGCAGAACCUGAGCUCUGAGGCCAGCCUCAGGGUGAGUGGAUGGACUUGGGCUACCCUGGGCCCCUUCUGCUGCUCAGGUCCUUGGGGUGCCUCUGGACUCGAUCAGAGCUCCUGAAGUGAUCUGCCGGUGGGCAGAGGCAGUCCUGGCCCGAGUCUCAGCUCUGGUUGGCCAGUGUUGGCAUGGACCUGGACCUACCCUUUCCCAGACUCCAUGCAUGUUGGCGAGGCUGAUCUGGGCAGAGCCUGAGAUCCAGUGGGUAUCUGCUGGUGUGCAGAGGUGGUCCUGGGCCCAACCUGAGCUCAGUACAGGUCUCCCAGUUGAGGGGUGGAUGCAGGCCUACCUGUGUCUAGCCUCCAGUGCAGGUUGGUGGGGGAAGAUCUGGACUGUACAUGAGCUCUGGCAGGUGACUGCAGGUGAGUGGAAGCAGUCCUGGGCUGGGCCUGAGCAUCCUGCUGUUGGUGGGAUGAAACUGGGC
rnacentral:lncRNA from 1 species